AGAUGAAGAUGAAGAAAGUGAAGAUCAGGCUUCUGGUGAUGAGGAAACUGAAGAUGAUGAUGAUGAUGAGGACUCUGAAGAUGAUGAACUAGAAGAAACUGAACUAGAGUUCUUGGAGAGGUAUGCCAAGAAAGCCGCGGAAAUGGAAAAUGGAACAAUUGUGGAAGAAGGAGACACGGAAGAUCAAGAGCUAGAAAUUGAAUUGGGUUGUUUGGAAGAUGUGGAUCUGGAAAACACUGUGCUUUUGGUAAUUCAAAGAUAUCACCAAGUGCUUUUACGGCUACAGUUGCCACCAGAACUGUUUUCGAGUUUCUUGGAAGCCUUGCCUGAAUGUAAAUCAUACUUCCAACAAGCUAUAUAGAAUGUGAUACAUACGCUGCUCUUGGCAUUGUUAUAUUUUUUAACACUCUGAUUGUUGUAGUUGUCAAGUGUGCUGUUGGUGGCUGAUUAUUUU
rnacentral:misc_RNA from 1 species